CCUACGGGAGGCAGCAGUGAGGAAUAUUGGUCAAUGGGCGGGAGACUGAACCAGCCAAGUCGCGUGAGGGAAGACGGUCCAAUGGAUCGUAAACCUCUUUAGGCGGGGAGCAAUGCCGGGCACGCGUGCCCGGAGGGAGAGUACCCGCAGAAUAAGCAUCGGCUAACUCCGUGCAAGCAGCCGCGGUAAUACGGAGGAUGCGAGUGUUAUCCGUAUUUAUGGGGUUUAAAGGGUGCGUAGGCGGCUUUUUAAGUCAGCGGUAAAAGGUCCGGGCUCAACCCGGGCCGGCCGUUGAAACGGGGAGUCUUGAGUGGGCGAGAAGUAUGCGGAAUGCGUGGUGUAGCGGUGAAAUGCAUAGAUAUCGCGCAGAACUCCGAUUGCGAAGGCAGCAUACCGGCGCCCCACUGACGCUGAGGCACGAAAGCGUGGGGAUCGAACAGGAUUAGAUACCCUAGUAGUC
rnacentral:rRNA from 1 species